GCCCAACAGCUAGCCUAAACAAUCAAAAGCAACAACCAAACAUAAAUAAACCCCAAAGAACUCACAAAAUUAAACAAACCAUUUUUCCUCUUUAGUAUAGGAGAUAGAAAAAGACAUUUGAGCUAUAGAAAAAGUACCGCAAGGGAAAGCUGAAAGAGAAAUGAAAAAACCCAGUAAAGCAGAAAAAAGCAGAGAUUUUUCCUCGUA
rnacentral:rRNA from 1 species